rnacentral:rRNA from 1 species
AAUAGAUACCCUGGUAGUCCACGCCGUAAACGAUGAGUGCUAAGUGUUAGGGGGUUUCCGCCCCUUAGUGCUGCAGCUAACGCAUUAAGCACUCCGCCUGGGGAGUACGGUCGCAAGACUGAAACUCAAAGGAAUUGACGGGGGCCCGCACAAGCGGUGGAGCAUGUGGUUUAAUUCGAAGCAACGCGAAGAACCUUACCAGGUCUUGACAUCCCAUUGACCGCUAUGGAGACAUAGCUUUCCCUUCGGGGACAGUGGUGACAGGUGGUGCAUGGUUGUCGUCAGCUCGUGUCGUGAGAUGUUGGGUUAAGUCCCGCAACGAGCGCAACCCUUGUUCUUAGUUGCCAUCAUUUAGUUGGGCACUCUAAGGAGACUGCCGGUGACAAACCGGAGGAAGGUGGGGAUGACGUCAAAUCAUCAUGCCCCUUAUGACCUGGGCUACACACGUGCUACAAUGGACGGUACAAACGGUUGCCAACCGCGAGGGGGAGCUAAUCCGAUAAAACCGUUCUCAGUUCGGAUUGUAGGCUGCAACUCGCCUAC